CCUGAUCCCGCCCGCUUUGUUGCCUCUCUCUUUUUCAUACCUCUUAAACUCUUCCUUUCUGGCUUCACCUUCCCUUCCUCCUCGCACCCUCCGAGUACAUCUCCUUUUAGAAUCGACUGUCUGUAAGCCAAGAGCCGCUGUCACCAGAUCCCCUCCGACCCACAAAUUUCCCAGGAAUGGUAUGCGAUCCCACUUGGCAGCUCCACAGACGCUAACUGCUCGGCCACAUCUCGCAGGGUUUUUCUGGACCUGCUGAGCCACCGAUCACAGCUCGCAUGUUGUCACCGCACUGAAGACGUGUCUCGGCGUUUGAUGGCGCAGAACGUGAAGCAGAACGCCAGCUCGCAGCGGUGAGAGCCCGCAUCUAAAAUAUCCACCAGUUGGCUGGAGCAGUAAAGUUCAGUGGUCAUCAUCAUCAUCAUCAUCAUCAUCAUCAUCAUCUUCAUCAUCAUCAUGAUUGUACUCCUUCAUUUUCCACCGACAACAGUGUGGGCCAGCUACAUAGGGCAAGAGGCAGGGGACACACUUGAUA